ACGGGGCUAGCUGAUUAGCUUAGCAUGCUACCAGUUCGGUUUCCGGGGGCCUAGAAUAGGCUUACAACGUGCACCCCAGACCUAGUUUGGGAAACGCUGAGCUGUGGCUCACAGUGGCGUGUUAUCAUAGUGAGGGGUGUAAAUGGGGAAAUUAAACCAGAGACAGAGCGACCCUGAAUUAACCCAGGUAUGCCCCAGCCGUCAAAGGAAACUAGUUCUCAAAACGCACAUUGGGACUGAUCGUGUUAAGCCUUAGUUUGUUUAAGUGGGUGCGGUGUGCGCGCGCGCUGGAGUAGCUGCGGUAACAGUGCUGUGGCAGAAGCGUUCGGGGUCAAAUGGUCUGCUGUACGCUACUGUUUUUGUGCGUGUGUGUGCUUGUACGGUGUUAUAGGAGAAAUCAGAUGCAUGAUCCCCCACGGGAGUAUCCAACCUUUUUUAAAAUGUAGCUAGUUUCACUUGACAGCAGGGGCGUACCUGGUUUCACUUCCCCAUUCACGCCUCUAGCUAUGAUAACUGACCACUGUGAGCCACAGCUCAGAGUUUCCCAAAUUCGGUGCUGGGGACCCCAUGGUUUGCAAAUGUGGGUGUUUUGCCUUAGCACUACACUGUGAUGAGUUGAUCAUUUGAAUCAACUGUGUGGUACUAGGGCAAAAAAACUAAAUAUGCACCCCUUGGAGUCCCCAGGACCGAGUUUGGGAAAAGUCUUAACUAGCUGGUUUAGCUAUUAUUUCGACAGGAAAUCCCUUUGUCAGGCUAUGGCCAUGAAUCUCCAUAAAUGUGGGCUGCGUGGCUUCGCUAACUGUAAGGAAAAACAUACUGAUCAUGCGAUUCCAACCGCAUGCAGUGGUGCCAUAACACAAAGGAGCUUCCCCUAACUGGAAUUAGUGAAUGUUAAACAGAUGUCAAGGAGGAGGAGCCUAACUCAACCUACCACCUCCCUUUCUUUUUUUGUUGUUGCUACUCUGAAGAAUCUCAAAUAUAAAAUAUAUUUUAAUUUAACUCUUUUUUUUUUUUUUUUUUGUUACAACAUGAUUCCAUAUGUGUUAUUUCAUCACUUUGGUAUCUUCACUAUUAUUCUACAAUGUAGAAAAUAAAAGAACAACCCUGGAAUGAGUAGGUUUUGCUCGUGGCGGGGAUCCUGGAAUGCCUGAGCCAAACAUUCUAAGUCUGCUGUGGGGCUGAGAACAACCCUGACCUGGCCAAUCACCUCAUCCAACUGUGGUCAUGUGACUCCCAGCUAUCACCACAGAAACGGACGCCAUCUUACCCUCACCCAUUUCUAUAUGGCUAAUAUAUUAUAGGUUGGAUGGAACUUUCAUUGUCACGUCGCUCAGGUUACGUCGGAAACAUGAAGCUCUGAAUGAUCCUCUCAUUCUGAAAUGCCAGAUGGCGUGAUGGACAUCUUAUUCUGAAACCGGUCCUUUACUGUGACCAAUGUUUCUCUAUGGUUUUGUUUCUUCUCUGUUUGGGAACAUGUAAAAACCUUUAUCUUGUCAUUUGUUCAUGGAUCUGUGUUUGUCUGUUUUACUUGAAAUGAUCCUAUAUAAAAAUGUCUGCCUGUUGGUUAAAAGUGGA